AACGAACGCUGGCGGCAGGCUUAACACAUGCAAGUCGAACGCCCCGCAAGGGGAGUGGCAGACGGGUGAGUAACGCGUGGGAACAUACCCUUUUCUACGGAAUAGCUCUGGGAAACUGGAAUUAAUACCGUAUACGCCCUACGGGGGAAAGAUUUAUCGGGGAAGGAUUGGCCCGCGUUGGAUUAGCUAGUUGGUGGGGUAAAGGCCUACCAAGGCGACGAUCCAUAGCUGGUCUGAGAGGAUGAUCAGCCACAUUGGGACUGAGACACGGCCCAAACUCCUACGCGGAGCAGCAGAGGAGAAUAUUGGACGAUGGGCGCAAACCUAAUCCAGCCAUGCCGGGGGAGUGAUGAAGGCCUUAGGAUUGUAAAGCUCUUUCACCGAUGAAGAUAAUGACGGUAGUCGGAGAAGAAGCCCCGGCUAACUACGUG
rnacentral:rRNA from 1 species